rnacentral:rRNA from 1 species
UACGUAGGAUGCAAGCGUUGUCCGAAUUUAUUGGGUUUAACGGGUGCGUAGGCGGCUUAUUAAGUUAGUGGUGAAAACGUUCGGCUUAACCGGGUACCCGCCAUUGAUACUGAUAGACUUGAGUGCGACAGAGGGUGUUGGAAUGUGUGGUGUAGCGGUGAAAUGCUUAGAUAUCACGCAGAACACCAAUGGCGAAGGCAGAUGCCUAUGUCGUAACUGACGCUGAGGCACGAAAGCGUGGGGAGCAAACAGG